rnacentral:rRNA from 1 species
ACCUGAAACCGUGUACGUACAAGCAGUGGGAGCCCCACCACUAAGCCAGUGGUGAACUCCACAUACGCAUCCUUUGCUGAGGAUACGGUUAACGGAGCGAAAGCGACGUUCAACCGCAAAAGAAGCAGAGGGGGCUUAGUGGUGGGGUGACUGCGUACCUUUUGUAUAAUGGGUCAGCGACUUAUAUUCUGUAGCAAGGUUAACCGAAUAGGGGAGCCGGAGGGAAACCGAGUCUUAACCGGGCGUUAAGUUGCAGGGUAUAGACCCGAAACCCGGUGAUCUAGCCAUGGGCAGGUUGAAGGUUGGGUAACACUAACUGGAGGACCGAACCGACUAAUGUUGAAAAAUUAGCGGAUGACCUGUGGCUGGGGGUGAAAGGCCAAUCAAACCGGGAGAUAGCUGGUUCUCCCCGAAAGCUAUUUAGGUAGCGCCUCGUGAAUUCAUCUCCGGGGGUAGAGCACUGUUUCGGCUAGGGGGCCAUCCCGGCUUACCAACCCGAUGCAAACUGCGAAUACCGGAGAAUGUUAUCACGGGAGACACACGGCGGGUGCUAACGUCCGUCGUGAAGAGGGAAACAACCCAGACCGCCAGCUAAGGUCCCAAAGUCAUGGUUAAGUGGGAAACGAUGUGGGAAGGCCCAGACAGCCAGGAUGUUGGCUUAGAAGCAGCCAUCAUUUAAAGAAAGCGUAAUAGCUCACUGGUCGAGUCGGCCUGCGCGGAAGAUGUAACGGGGCUAAACCAUGCACCGAAGCUGCGGCAGCGAACGUAUCACUUAAAGCGAUUCAGCGGGUUACGAUUGACGGAGCGAAGCGACGUCAAAGCGUAUACAAAGUCGAGUCGGUUUAAGGAUACGUUCGUUGGGUAGGGGAGCGUUCUGUAAGCCUGUGAAGGUGGCCUGUGAGGGUUGCUGGAGGUAUCAGAAGUGCGAAUGCUGACAUA